AGCGAACGUUAGCGGCGGGCUUAACACAUGCAAGUCGAACGCGAAAGGGAUUCGUCCCCAGUAGCGUGGCGUCCGGGUGAGUAACACGUAGGAAACCUUGCCUAGAGUGGGGAGUAACGUCCCGAAGGGACGCUAAUACCGCAUAAGCCCACGUCGGCCUCGGCCGAUGCGGGAAAAGAUGGCCUCUGAAUUCAAGCUAUCGCUCAAGGAUGGUCCUGCGGCGCAUCAGCUAGUUGGUGAGGUAAUGGCUCACCAAGGCAAUGAUGCGUAGGGGGUGUGAGAGCAUGGCCCCCACCACUGGCACUGAGACACUGGCCAGACACCUACGGGUGGCUGCAGUCGAGAAUAUUCCCCAAUGGCCGAAAGGCUGAGGGAGCGACGCCGCGUGCAGGAAUAAGGCCUCGGUCGUAAC
rnacentral:rRNA from 1 species